AGAAUCGACUGAACGAAAAGUCUAUGAAGAAUCGCCGUAAUAAUAAUAAUACCGGUGGAAAGCGAGCAAGCCUACGGCGUGUGAAGUGAAUACCAUUACCCGGGCAGUCAGCGUGAUGGAGUCAAGACAAUUUGAACUAGGUUUUAUUUUGGUUACAGUGUUUGUUUUGGGUGUGUGUCAAGGCGGGGAAACCGAGGAAUGUCCCAAGAACAGUGCGGAUCAAGUUAAGCAAUGUUUGAGUGAAACGAAUUUAGGUAUAACAGAUGGUAAACCACAUGCCCUAGCUCUAGAUGCUGAAGUUACAAUGGAUUUGUGCAGUACUGGGAAGUUACAGAGAGCUGUAGACUGUAUGGGUAAAAUUUAUAAAGCUUGUGCCAAUGACAUGGAAGCCAUGAAUGUACUAAGUAUGGAAGCAAGUGUGCCUGAUUGGAAAGCGGCCUCCAAAAAACUGUGUGAUAAUGUAAAUGUUAUUAAGGAGAGUGGGGAAUGUUUAAAUAAAGAUCAAGAAGCGACCAGGCUUUGUGUAUCCACCCAAAAAACAGCCUUUGAAGGAGAAAUGAACGCCAAGGUGUUGACGUCACAUAAUGAUAUGAACGCCUUAAUGGGCGUGGCAUGCUCAUAUAGCACCAAUAUAAUGAAAUGUAUCAAGAAGCCAUUGGUGAAGAACUGUCCAGACAAUCUCAAAUCGCUCGUCCUGGAUGUCUUCCGAUUACUACUACCUCCACCAUGUAAACCGGCACCGGACUCAGGAUCAACGGAUGUUGCCGGUUACGACACUGUCUCCGACGACAAAAGCAAACCAAAGAAUGUAGGAUCAAGUGUGACAUCUCGUACAACUUUAAUUGUCCUUGUAUCUAGUUUUAUUUUGUUUAAAUUGUGGUAAAUCGUGU